GCGGAAUAAGGCUGAUCGGAGAGACAGCUGAUGGCUGGGAGAUGGUUUGGGGAAUCGUUUUUGGUUGGUCGCGAGGAGUUCUGCUGUGCUGACUGCUUUUGGCAAUUGUUGGCAUCAAAGUGUUAAAAUUUAAGAAGUGUCGCGCGACGAGUGGAAGAUAAGAGGAACUCUGAAGGAUUCAUUGAUGAGUUACAAGAAUUGGAGUCAGAAAAUUUGACAAGUGUAUUGGUUGCUGUUAUUCUACAAGAGCUACUCGGAAGCAUUUAUUGAUGGCCUACAAGAACUGAAUUCUGAAAAUUUAACAUUUAAAUUAAAAAGAAAUGAACAAAAAAUUAGUUUAAAAAUUUGUAAAUAACAGCGUCACAUUAUUUAUUUGCGUGAGUGUAGGAUUUUUAUAUAUUUUGUUUUUAGUAACACAAGUAAAACAGAAGGAAAGCUGAGAAUACAGGGGAACGACGUUGCCUGUUUGAGAGCUCUGGAAGGGGAGGGUAUUUUAAUUGUUUGGUAAAGCUGUUUUCUUAUUUUUAUUCCUUUGUAUAAGUGUUUAUCCUACAUUUCGCAUUUUAUUCUUAUAUUUGAAAAAGGCUGCAAUGGUAUUAGUAUUUAUUUUUUUCUUCUUUCUAUUUUCUUUAUUAUUUAUAUUUUGCCGAUUGUUCUUUUAUUUUUGAUUCAUUUUAAUAUCACCUUUUUUUGGUUUUA